GCCGUCCUCAGCUGAGCCGCGGUCCACCGCCGAACUUAUGGCUGCUCGCGGACAUCUUCCACCGGCAUUUGAGGGCCGAUCUAUCCAAGCCCCUGGAAUGCUGCGUCACGGCCCUUUUCCUGCACCUGGCCCUGCAGGUCAUCACCCGAUGGAGCCCUUACCUCCUCUUGAGUUCCUUGAAAAGAAGAUAGCAGGUCAGGCAGGUGAGAUGGAUCGG
rnacentral:misc_RNA from 1 species